UAGGGAAUCUUCGGCAAUGGACGAAAGUCUGACCGAGCAACGCCGCGUGAGUGAAGAAGGUUUUCGGAUCGUAAAACUCUGUUGUUAGAGAAGAACAAGGACGUUAGUAACUGAACGUCCCCUGACGGUAUCUAACCAGAAAGCCACGGCUAACUACGUGCCAGCAGCCGCGGUAAUACGUAGGUGGCAAGCGUUGUCCGGAUUUAUUGGGCGUAAAGCGAGCGCAGGCGGUUUCUUGAGUCUGAUGUGAAAGCCCCCGGCUCAACCGGGGAGGGUCAUUGGAAACUGGGAGACUUGAGUGCAGAAGAGGAGGGUGGAAUUCCAUGUGUAGCGGUGAAAUGCGUAGAUAUAUGGAGGAACGCAAGUGGCGAAGGCGGCGCUCUGGUCUGUAACUGACGCUGAGGCUAGAAAGCGUGGGGAGCAAACAGG
rnacentral:rRNA from 1 species